UACGUAGGGUGCAAGCGUUUAAUCGGAAUUACUGGACGUAAAGGGUGCGCAGGCGGUUAUAUAAGACAGAUGUGAAAUCCCCGGGCUCAACCUGGGAACUGCGUUUGUGACUGUAUGACUAGAGUACGGUAGAGAGGGGUGGAAUUCCUGGUGUAGCAGUGAAAUGCGUAGAGAUUGUAAGGAAGACCAGUGGCGAAGGCGGGUCUCUGGACAGUUCCGUCACUGAGGCACGAAGGCCAGGGGAGCAAACGGG
rnacentral:rRNA from 1 species